CUUCCCACUCUGGGCUUUGCUGUCCCCUGUGUACCUGGAUGGGGCAACAGCAGCCGGUCACCCCCAACCCCCGCCCCCAGCUAUUCUUGGUCAAGCUGUUUUCCAGGGGUCACCCAGCCAUCGGAGACCCUGGCUCUGCGCUGUCCUAGUAGGCGCUGCUCCCCCUCCGUUCCUGGGGUCAGAUUCUCCACACCCGGUCCUGUAUACCAGGCUGCUGGCCCUCACCUGGGUGCCCCUUCUCUCCCAGUCUUUGCGUUUGCCAUUCCUACCUGGAACACUUUCCCUCUGGGUCUUUUCCUGGCUCCCCCCUCCCAUGUCCCUUGCUUGGGCCGAGCCUCUUUUCUCCCCAGGACUCAAUAUCUGAACCAAACUUCACGACUCUCGUCUGUCCCUUGCAGGACAAUAAAGCGUCAGACAGACCAGGACUUCACGUUGCUCACCCCUACAAUCCAACACCUGCAACCAUCCCCACCUAGUGAGGAGGCUCAGGAAAUAUUUAUUUGUUGGGGAAAAAACAAACAAAAUCCUCCUCCCCUGAAAUCCUUGGCAUUCAUUGUGCCGGGGUGGAGGCACCGAGACACUGGCACCCAGGUGAGCUGCCAGGAAAGGCCACUCCAGCAGGAAUUUCCGGCACAGGGGCACCUCUUCCUUUCCACUCCAGGAAGUGAGGGGACAAAGCCCAAGGCCGGGCUGCCUCUGUCACAGAAGUCAAGUCUGGGGUCUGGCCAGGCACAGCCAACAGGGCUUGUCACAGGAUGCAGAGGCCGAGGGGACUCACACAGGGAGCUCUGCCUGGCCAAGGGCAGCGGGGAGCGCUUGAGUAUUCCAAACAGGCAGCUCCCCAGGAGGAAAGGGUUCUUUCCUUCUCCUGAGUGGGGAAGGCCAGCAGGGAGCUGCUGCUGAAGGAGGAAAUCUGCGAGUGUUAUCCAUUGCACCAGCCUGGAGAUUCCCACUCCAGGAAGCCUCUGGAAGCUGAGAGAGAAACUCGAGGGUCAGGCCUGAGGCCACAGCCCCGGACUGAGGCUGAGCCGGUUCCCCACUGAGUUCUUUGAGUUAGCAGCAACUUUGGCCGGGCUAAUUACGCUGGCCUCACCCUGACCCUGGCCCUGGAGACACUAGGACGGCUCUGCUGUGUCCCCCUCUCCCCCAGGAAUCACGGGAAGAGAUUAGCCUGCGCUCCAGCUCUGCAGGCCUCAGUGACGUCCCCGGAGCCUCACAGCUGAUUCCUGCUGUUGGCCCGGCUCCUGCCUGGCCUGUCCUCUGCCCCACACAGAGCAGAUCGGCCUCCGGAAGAACCAACAGGUUCAAGAAGAGUUUACAUCUGGCCUGCAGAGAUUUAUCUAAUAUUUAUUAAGCGAUUAUGGCCCCAGACUCUGGAGCCAGACUGCCCACGUUCAACCCUGGAUGACCACUUGGGGGCUGCAUGACCAUGGACGUGUCCCUUCCUGUCCCCUGUAAACACAGGGAUUCCAGCGUCCACCCUUUGCGGAGGGUCAGAGGACCAUAUGAGAAAAGACACGUGAAAUACUCCCUCCGCAGGCCGCGCUGGGCAUCGGGCUUCAGUGAAGAACCACCUUACCAUUACUAGUCAACAGGUUAAGGAUGAGGGAGCAGUCAGGCCUGGAUCUCUGGACCGGACAACCAAGGCGCUCAUUCUCCCUCUCCCGGGCCAAGACCACUCUGCUCAGACCCAGCCUGGGAGUGAGGAAGGCGGAGUCCCAGGCUCUGGAUUCAAAUUCCAGUGCCAUCACCCGCUGGCUCUGGGACCUGGGUAAGUGCUGUGGUUUAUAUCUAGGUGUUCUCCCAACGCCUCAUGCACUCACAGAUGGGGUUCGGGAGCUGACUGGAUAGUGGGGUGUGAUACGCAUUGGUGGAUUAGUUUCACUGAUGCAUUUACAGCUAAAUGUGAUGCUGGGAGGUGAAGCUUGGUUGGAGCGGGUGGGUCACUGUGGGUGUGGCCUGGAAGAGUCUGUCUCCCUGCUUGAUUUCUCUCUGGUUCCCCCCACCAUGCUAUGAGCUCUUUCUCCUUGCCAUGCCCACCCCCUCACCAUGCUGCCCUGGCCCCAGCGCCAGCCCACAAUGGACUGAAACCUAUACAAAUUAUGAGUCAAAAUAAACCUUUCC
ensembl:lincRNA